GAGUGGGAUGACGUCAAAUCAGCACGGCCCUUAUGUCCAGGGCUACACACGUGUUACAAUGGCCGGUACAGAGGGCAGCUACCUGGAGACAGGAUGCGAAUCUCGAAAAGCCGGUCUCAGUUCGGAUCGGAGUCUGCAACUCGACUCCGUGAAGCUGGAUUCGCUAGUAAUCGCGCAUCAGCCAUGGCGCGGUGAAUACGUUCCCGGGCCUU
rnacentral:rRNA from 1 species